GAUGGGCCAAAUGCUUCUUAUCUGCCGUCACAUUCUAUGUUUCUAUGUAUGAGCCUAUAUCGAAAUUCUAUUAUAUUUAAUUAAUUAUUUAGGCCCAUACAGAUGUUAAAUUGUAAUAACAGAAAUCUAUUGGGUUGCAAUUAAUCGUAUAGUCUAUAUAAUAUACUGACAUAGAGAUUUAAGGUUCGUGGUGGUAUUAACUAAUGACUGAUCAAUUUUAAUAAUGGAACCAAGUAAAUUGUCCCUACCAUAGCACAGUUGUUAUGGUUCAAUUGUUGUAGUCUCAUAUUUCCUUAGGGUAAAUAUUUAAGGUUCUGCUGCAAUUGGGAUUGUGAGGCUUUAAAGGUGAAUGAUUCUGCUGUUAUUUGUACAAUGGGGAUACAUAUUUACAGUUUAAGUGAUAGAAGUGUUUUAGUUUGUUAG